rnacentral:lncRNA from 1 species
ACAGAUAUGCGGAGGAUGCAGUUAGGAGGUUCCUUGAAGCCGGCAGGGCUGCUCUAAGAGCUGGAGCAAAUGAAUCAGCUAUUGUUACAAUGCGACCUUCACUCACUAGCCGAAUUCCAGUGGGGGGUCCUGGUAACUACCAGAAAGCCUAUUGAUUCCUCACAAAACCACCAGUUUAGAUAUGAAUUUAAAUACAAAUAUAAAAUUACUGUGUCCGUAAAUAUAUAAUGUAAAAUUGCAAAUGAAUCUGCUAUUUGUUACAAUGAAUACUAGUACUGUUCCUAUUUACAUGUGCAAGUGGUGCUUGUAUUAUCAGGUAUAUGCAGUAGUUAAUCUGAUUGUCAGAUUCUCAAGAGUGGAGAUUGUGUACCUUGCAUCUUGUUCUUGCGAGAACCACAGAAAUAAGAGGCCUCGUAGCCAU